AGUGAACGCUGGCGGUAGGCCUAACACAUGCAAGUCGAACGGCAGCACAGUAAGAGCUUGCUCUUACGGGUGGCGAGUGGCGGACGAGUGAGGAAUACAUCGGAAUCUACUUUUUCGUGGGGGAUAACGUAGGGAAACUUACGCUAAUACCGCAUACGACCUACGGGUGAAAGCAGGGGAUCUUCGGACCUUGCGCGAUUGAAUGAGCCGAUGUCGGAUUAGCUAGUUGGCGGGGUAAAGGCCCACCAAGGCGACGAUCCGUAGCUGGUCUGAGAGGAUGAUCAGCCACACUGGAACUGAGACACGGUCCAGACUCCUACGGGAGGCAGCAGUGGGGAAUAUUGGACAAUGGGCGCAAGCCUGAUCCAGCCAUACCGCGUGGGUGAAGAAGGCCUUCGGGUUGUAAAGCCCUUUUGUUGGGAAAGAAAAGCAGCAGGUUAAUACCCCGCUGUUCUGACGGUACCCAAGGAAUAAGCACCGGCUAACUUCGUG
rnacentral:rRNA from 1 species